rnacentral:rRNA from 1 species
GUAGUCAUAUGCUUGUCUCAAAGAUUAAGCCAUGCAUGUCUAAGUAUAAGCAAUUAUACCGUGAAACUGCGAAUGGCUCAUUAAAUCAGUUAUCGUUUAUUUGAUAAUACCUUACUACUUGGAUAACCGUGGUAAUUCUAGAGCUAAUACAUGCUGAAAAUCCCGACUUCGGAAGGGAUGUGUUUAUUAGAUAAAAAACCAAUGCCCUUCGGGGCUCUUUGGUGAUUCAUGAUAACUUUACGGAUCGCAUAGCCUUGCGCUGGCGACGGUUCAUUCAAAUUUCUGCCCUAUCAACUUUCGAUGGUAAGGUAUUGGCUUACCAUGGUUUCAACGGGUAACGGGGAAU